GGUUGUUCUCAGGUGACACACCCCAGAAUCGGGCUCCCUUCUCUCUGGUUCCAGGUGCAUCACCUGAGAACCACA
rfam:Myotis lucifugus cont2.6794, whole genome shotgun sequence.